AUACGUAGGGGGCAAGCGUUGUCCGGAAUUAUUGGGCGUAAAGCGCGCGCAGGCGGUCUUUUAAGUCUGAUGUGAAAUCUUGCGGCUCAACCGCAAGCGGUCAUUGGAAACCGGGAGACUUGAGUGCAGAAGAGGACAGUGGAACUCCAUGUGUAGCGGUGAAAUGCGUAGAUAUAUGGGAGAACACCAGUGGCGAAGGCGGCUGUCUGGUCUGUAACUGACGCUGAGGCUCGAAAGCAUGGGUAGCGAACAGGAUUAGAUACCCUGGUAGUCCAUGCCGUAAACGAUGAGUGCUAAGUGUUGGAGGGUUUCCGCCCUUCAGUGCUGCAGCUAACGCAUUAAGCACUCCGCCUGGGGAGUACGACCGCAAGGUUGAA
rnacentral:rRNA from 1 species